rnacentral:rRNA from 1 species
UGGGGAAUAUUGCACAAUGGGCGCAAGCCUGAUGCAGCAACGCCGCGUGAACGAUGAAGGUCUUCGGAUCGUAAAGUUCUGUUGCAGGGGAAGAUAAUGACGGUACCCUGUGAGGAAGCCCCGGCUAACUACGUGCCAGCAGCCGCGGUAAUACGUAGGGGGCUAGCGUUAUCCGGAUUUACUGGGCGUAAAGGGUGCGUAGGUGGUCUUUCAAGUCGGUGGUUAAAGGCUACGGCUCAACCGUAGUUAGCCUCCGAAACUGGAAGACUUGAGGGCAGGAGAGGAAAGUGGAAUUCCCAGUGUUGCGGUGAAAUGCGUAGAUAUUGGGAGGAACACCAGUAGCGAAGGCGGCUGUCAGGACUGCAACUGACACUGAGGAACGAAAGCGUGGGUAGCAAACAGG